rnacentral:misc_RNA from 1 species
GAUGAAGAACGUAGCGAAAUGCGAUACGUAGUGUGAAUUGCAGAAUUCAGUGAAUCACCGAAUCUUUGAACGCACAUUGCACCUCUCGGUAUUCCGGGAGGUAUGCCUGUUCGAGCGUCAUUUGUACCCUCAAGCUCUGCUUGGUGUUGGGUGUUUGUUCCGCCUCUGUGUGUGAACUCGCCUCAAAACAAUUGGCAGCCGGCGUACUUGUUUCGGAGCGCAGCACAUUUUGCGAUCCAGAUCAACGUACAGCGGCAUCCAAGAAGCCUUAUUUAACGCUCUUGACCUCGGAUCAGGUAGGGAUACCCGCUGAACUUAAGCAUAUCAAUAAGCGGAGGA